rnacentral:autocatalytically_spliced_intron from 1 species
UGCUGGAAACUCUGCGAAUGCGAGAGUACCGAAAGGUGACAAUCUCUCGACGAUGCAGACAAUCAGCAGGGAAGAUUUGCAAACUGUAUUAAGGAAAAGUUCUU